rnacentral:rRNA from 1 species
AGAUGGGAUGGUGCCUUCGGGAACUGUGAGACAGGUGCUGCAUGGCUGUCGUCAGCUCGUGUUGUGAAAUGUUGGGUUAAGUCCCGCAACGAGCGCAACCCUUAUCCUUUGUUGCCAGCGGUCCGGCCGGGAACUCAAAGGAGACUGCCAGUGAUAAACUGGAGGAAGGUGGGGAUGACGUCAAGUCAUCAUGGCCCUUACGACCAGGGCUACACACGUGCUACAAUGGCGCAUACAAAGAGAAGCGACCUCGCGAGAGCAAGCGGACCUCAUAAAGUGCGUCUUAGUCCGGAUUGGAGUCUGCAACUCGACUCCAUGAAGUCGGAAUCGCUAGUAAUCGUGGAUCAGAAUGCCACGGUGAAUACCUUCCCGGGUCUUGUACACACCGA